CAUAGGGUUAAUAUCAUAGAAACUCAAUGGUUAAUAUAAACAACUCUAUGCAUAGCUCUAUCCCCAGUAUUUCCCAAUCUUCCCUGUCCCCUCUCGCUUUACCUCACGCAUGCGCGAUUGGUUCUUACUUCGCGCUGCGGCCGCGGCCACCAGCACCACGGAGCUAACAGAGCCAGCGCCUCCUAACCCCAUUAGCCCUAUGUCCUGCCCUCGGCCUCUUGCUGGCGUCUAGUCAUGGGCUGGCCAACGUUGCGUCGUGCAGACCGCUUUUGCUCGCUGUUUACUUGAUGCAGUACUUUCGGUGCUUCUAAAUUGAUUUGCAAACUAGUCAUCUGCGUGUCGUCCUUGUGGAAGUGAGUAGUGCCGGCUCCGGGAUUUCGUUUUUGGUACAGUACUGCUGGUGUGGAGCGUCGUCACUGGGAAGCAAGUGCGGUUUGUCGCGUUGUGUCCUGCUGAUGCCAGAAGCGAAGGCAAGGCAGCCUUUUUUGCGAAACCUCCCGGCCUUUCCUGACCAUGGCUGCUGGGUGCUGCUAUAGUCGGUGUCAACCUAAGAAUUACGAAGAUGCCACCAACAAAAAUCCAACAAAAAUGUAGCGCUCCUGCUCUUCACCUGUGAAAGAGAGCUGAACCACCUGGUGCUCGCUCACAGCUUAAUAGCGUUGGUCGGCUAAUGCAAAUGCUACGCUAUUUAUAAAAUAAGAGCUAAUUGUUUCGAGCUACACUAUUUUCUCCAGCUGAGCACUGACAUGAGGAUGCCCUAUAAAAUAUGUCUAGACGUUAAGGUUUCAACCUGAAACAAGUGACACAAUGAUCGAUUUGUACGGAGAAAACAGUUGUUUCAAGCGCGCAAAACUGCUUGAUGUCGGCUAAAUAAGCAAAUCUAAUUGGCUGGUACAUCUCUGAAAAUUUUGCUUUAGUUGGACAGUGUACAGUGCUCACGGAAUGAAACGCGUCAAUUUAGGGCUAAGUAGUGCGCAUACUUUCGUUUCAACCGGCUGCAGUUCGUGUCACAUCGACGUAAUUUUGGCGCGAACGCUUACACCGGAGUCCUCGUCACGUUUGGUGACCAAAUUCCUAGCGACAUGACAUGGUGCUCUCGCGUACUUUGCACAUAUGUAUAGGGUUGUACUAAAUGCACCGUGUCCUAUUUCAUUCCGUGAGCACUGUACAUAUAACCCUGCAAUUCCUUUUGUUGUCACUGAGUACAGGUUUCUUACCCAAUACGUCCUGUGCAGGACAGCACUACUAUCUUUACUACCCUUAAAGAUGUCGUGGUUGCUGGCCUUGUUUUCUACGGAAUAACUCCGGGAUGAAACAAAUGGCACCUAAAUAUUUUCACUGCAGUCAGUAUGCGUAAUCAAAAACACAAUUCCUUUAAUAAAGCAAACCCUUCUUAUGCCUA